AAACUUUCAACAACGGAUCUCUUGGUUCUCGCAUCGAUGAAGAACGCAGCGAAAUGCGAUAAGUAAUAUGAAUUGCAGCCUUUGUGAAUCAUCGAAUUUUUGAACGCACAUUGCGCCUUGAGGUAUUCCUCAAGGCAUGCCUGUUUGAGCGUCAGAC
rnacentral:rRNA from 1 species